CAUUUCAACAUUAAAUAUUAUUUGCUGAACUCCACCAAUAUUUUAGGCCUGCUAAUCAGCAUCUGACGUGACGAAUUGCUGCAUGUUACAUGUAACGUAUGCAAUGGACAAAUGAGCAGCGACACUGUUUCAGAAAAUAAAUAAGUCGUAUUCGUGAAUUUAUUUCACGUGUUUCCCAUUUUGGAAUUGCAAAGUGGUGCGAAAGUACAGCACGGCAAUGACGUCAGCGAGUCACGGUGUUUUGGAUUAACGAUCAUCUGAUUUGGCUUUAGUUGAUUUGGCUUUAGUUGAUUGGCUUUUGUUCCUUAAAUCUAUUAUUUUAAAACCACAGUCGUUCACGAUGCCGAAUAAUUUGUCGUUCUAAACUAGUAUGUGUACAUUUUGGACAAGGGAAGAUGAUUUUCAGCUCGUGUUACGGAUUUCACCCGUUGCAUGCUGGGAAACGUAGUUUUAAUAUUUCAGUGGUUAAGUGUUAUCAAUAUUUACCAGGGGUGUAACGGUACACAAAAAUCUCGGUUCGGUACGUACCUCGGUUUUGAGGUCACGGUUCGGUUCAUUUUCGGUAUAGUACAGUAAGAAAAAAAAAUGCAAAAUAUAAAUGUGCUAGUUGUUUAUGACACACCUUUGUGCUUUCAACAAUAGGAACAUUAGCCUAUAGAAAGCUAGAAUUCUGCUCAAAAAGUAGCGGGUAUUUCAAGAUAAUCCAACAACAAUUUGCCUUUCAGACCCCGCGUAUUGGUCAGCUUUCUUAUCUGAAAGAAAGACGAAAAAAGAAGUUCUGUGCUAAAGAGAAAAGCAAUCCCAAUGACAAGAUUUUAACAUGUAUUUUACAAAUGAAAUGCCUCAAUGAAUCUUUUUUUUUUUUCUUAUGAACGGUUUUCAAAAGCUUUAUUGGUGGAUUUUCUCAAGUUAAAGCGCCACACAGAAAUUAAUCAAUUUAAUUGUGUCAGCAGGAUCUGUGUAUUAUUCUUAUUAUUUAAUUACAGGUGUUUUAGCUCAUUUCAAUUUAUUUUAUUUAAAUAGGCUAUUAUUUAUUUUAUUAUGUGGGUAUAUUUUACAAAUGUGAUGUAGUAUUAAUUUAUAUUGUAUAUUUUAUGUUGCAUAACAUUAGUUCCUAUGUGAAUAUUAGUUCCGACUUGUUUUGUUGUGGUAGGAGGGUUUUGUAUUGAACACGGGGUCGUGUUGGUUAUUAUUAUAGCAGAGAAGACAGCAGUAAAUCAACAAAGGCAAGUCAACUGUGCCCCGAUCUACCACUCAAGAGAUCUGAUGGACUCAAAAAGUGGGUUACGAUUGCAUAUUAGUUUGAAAAUUGGCCGGAUCCACCGUAUUUUUACACGGGUGACUUCUGGUCUGCCCGAUCCUAGCUACCGGUAGUAGUAUUGACGCAGGAGGGUCGUGUUUCGCGUCAAAUAAUAAACGCUGACGUUCUUUUCGCGUGCAUCGUGUUGAGCCGCUUCUGGGACGCGUCUAACACGCGGCCGCACUGCGACUAGUGUGCAUUGGCUGAUUGACUUAAAUGGCCGCGGUUUAUUGCGUUGUCGCGGCGGCCACGUUGUUGCGCCGUUGACGUUUCUUACUGUCCUACCGUGUUGGUCCCCAUUAUAGUAGAGAAGACGGAGUAAAUAUAAUCUACACAAAGAAACUGUAACCAGAUCGACUCACAGCCUCGAAAAGUAAGGGUUACAUUACGUCAGAAACUCGUUUGGUACGCCUCCGUUCCGAACCGAGCACCACGUAACGAAACGGUUCAAUACAAAUACAUGUACCGUUACACCCUUAAUAUUUACCAGUUUAAUUCUUUCUGUUACGUGAAUAAGAUUGCUUCAUUGAAAUGUAAGUAAAUGAAUCUGUUUCUGUAAAUACAUUGCUUAAAUAGUCAAUUUUAUUUUUCUCAUGAACAUUUCAUAUUUUUCUGUCCGAAAAAUCUCAGGAAGAUUGAUUUUUAAAAAAAAACAAAAAACAAAUUUUACAGCACAAUGAAUGUGAGAAAAGCGGAGAAAAUUGUUCUGAGUGUGGAGCAAGCGGAAGGCGUUGGUGCUCGUGUUCGCAGAAGCAUUGGAAGAAAAGAGUUGCAAAACUUGGAUCCUUUUCUCAUGCUGGAUGAGUUUCGAGUGUGCAAACCAGCAGGUUUUCCAGACCACCCUCACAGAGGGUUCGAGACGGUAACAUACGUGUUGGAAGGUGUCAUAGCACAUGAAGACUUUUGUGGCCAUUCAGGGCGACUACAACCUGGAGAUCUGCAAUGGAUGACUGCAGGACGCGGAGUGGUUCAUGCCGAGAUGCCCAUGUCCGAGGAACCCUUGGUGGGUUUGCAGCUGUGGGUGAACCUGUCCAGGCAAAACAAGAUGGUUGAACCCGCUUACCAGGAGCUGCGGAGCUCUGAGAUCCCCAAAGUCAAUCAGGAAGGGGUGACUGUGGCUGUAAUUUCUGGAGAGGCCCUCGGAAAAAAGUCCAGGGUCUUCACAAGGACACCGACCAUGUAUUUGGAUUUUAAGAUGAAGAAAGGAGCUCAGCAUGUGCAGCAUGUCCCUUCGGGUAAAUAUUUGAAUACAGUUGUAUGGAAGAGGAUUGGUUUUUGGAAUCAUCAGGAUGGAGUGCCUUCAUUUACACCCUAUCAGGUUCCGUUCAUGUCGGCCCCGAAGAGGCACAGCAGAAGGUGGAACCCCAUCACACAGUAGUUUUUGGAGAUGGAGACUGUGUUCAAUUUGAAAACAAGAGUUCCGACAUUUCGCAUUUUGUCCUGAUCGCUGGAGAACCACUGAACGAACCCGUGGUGAAACACGGUCCGUUUGUCAUGAACACACAAGCAGAGAUUAACCAAGCUAUCAGCGAUUACAGAAACGCUCAAAAUGGAUUUGAG